AAGGCCUUCGGGUUGUAAAGCACUUUCAGCGAGGAGGAAAGGUUGAGCGCCUAAUACGUGUCAACUGUGACGUUACUCGCAGAAGAAGCACCGGCUAACUCCGUGCCAGCAGCCGCGGUAAUACGGAGGGUGCAAGCGUUAAUCGGAAUUACUGGGCGUAAAGCGCACGCAGGCGGUUGGAUAAGUUAGAUGUGAAAGCCCCGGGCUCAACCUGGGAAUUGCAUUUAAAACUGUCCAGCUAGAGUCUUGUAGAGGGGGGUAGAAUUCCAGGUGUAGCGGUGAAAUGCGUAGAGAUCUGGAGGAAUACCGGUGGCGAAGGCGGCCCCCUGGACAAAGACUGACGCUCAGGUGC
rnacentral:rRNA from 1 species